UUUGAAUGGUACACAGCCUGCUGAUACAGGUGUGCUGAUACUAAAAGCUCUUCUACUUUGCAGUGUUGUGCCCUCUGCUUCACCAGACCAGAAGAAGUACAUCAAAUUCAGAACUCCACUAUUAGAGCUGUUUGAGAAAAGCAGGACUUACGGUGCAUCGCCCCGCUUCUCACCGCAAAAGCUGAGUGCCCAAGUGAACACAGUUUGUCUUGGAAACAUCAGCCAGAGGUGAACAAGAUGGCUGCAGGGAACAUAUUGCUGUCUGGCACAAUCCUUUUCAGUGGGGCCUGCGCAGCCAAGAGGAUGUACAUCAUCUCCUGAGGAAACACCAACAACUUGCAAGGAUGUGAGCUACUGUGAAAUAGUAGCAGUCUGCAAAAGCCUUGAACCCGCACCAAUGACUGCAAUUGGACUGGUAUGAGGGAAAACAUGGGAAAUUUAUAAUGAGAAAUUGAGAAAGGGUUACGAAGAUAGAUGUGCAGAGAAAACGUCUAAAAUUUUUCUUCACAUGCUUGUGGAGUCAAUGAUAGGGAUGCCUCUGAAGAGAAGCCUCUGUUGAAGACAUUGGCAUGUCCCCACCUGAGGCCAUCUUAUACUGAUGAAGUCAUGAAGUCGUGAUGUUUGAUAGGCAAGGUGAUAGCCUAUGUUCUCUUAGAGCUUAUGGACUGGAACGAGUUUGUAGAAAACACCUGUGCAUUGAAAAGAAGAAAAAAGGCAUGCAUACAUUGUAUUACUGGUUGGUGGGAGAUGAAGCACUUGCAAAUUGAUAUUGACACAGUAUGAGGAUGUUCUCCUUCCUUCCUUGUUUGUUUACUGCUAUCGCUCGUAUAUUCAGUCAUAAAAACAGUGAUCAAUAAAGCAAUAUUUAUAAGCUU